UUGUCAAGAGCAUAUGCCACAGUGAGUCCCAAACUUGAUGACAGUGCAUCGUUUUACACUAUAUUUAGGAACUUGCAAUUCUUUUUCUAAGCAGAAUCUAAUCGUGGGAAAGAGAGAGUGGUACAUAUUGAUCGAGGACUUUUAUCAAACAGGGGCACCGAGUUCUAAUUGCGGUGUUGGAAUUUUAUUGUGAGCAAUUUCUCCGCUUAUAUGAUGCCCCAAAAUUCAUCUCACGUGCAGACGUGGUUAAUACCCGGCCUGAGGUUGAGGCAAAUGGGCUUCCGGAAGGAAACGCAUCUAUUUACCAAUAAGUUGAAUGCCAGAGUUCUGCAAUCAGGACAAUUAGUGAUGUGGAGAUUGAAAGGUUACUUACUGCUUUGCCCUUGCUAAAAUCUAAUAUAAGAAAGGAAGGCUCUAUUACUCCAAUAUAUAACGGUGUCAAGAACUGAGAAAAAUGGACCAACUGAAGUUAAAUGCAAAGAUAAAGAUGAUGAUUUGUCCAUGAACACAGCUGAAGAAGGAAACAUGAUCACUUUGUUUUUACAACAUAUGUCCAUGGCUCAUCUUGAUUGCUCUACUGCCAUGCCAUAUGCCAUCUGUUGGUGGCUUUGACUUUUCAAGUAAAAAUGGUAAACUGUAAUGCAAUAAGGGUUUGAGUUUUCAUUUUGCAUUAUGAUUUAUUUACACACAGUUGGAUUGAUCCCUGCUUUCAUUUAUCUUGGUUGCAAGGAAAACAAAGCUUCAUUGUCACUGAUAAUCUUCAUAUCAAGGAUUUUGUAGGUUA